ensembl:snRNA U6 U6 spliceosomal RNA
GGGCUCACUUUGGCAGUACAUAUAUUAAAACUGGAAUGGCAUAGAAAAGAAUAGCAUGGCCCUUGUGCAAGGAUGGCACACAAAUUCAGGAAGCAUUCCCUAUUUUU